CCCCUCUUCAUCAGCAGUCCACAAGUAACUGUCUUGAUUUUUUGUUUUUCUCGAUAUGCUGUUACGAACUUCCCUUAGAAUCAACCCAUUUGUGAAACACCACAUUAAUAAGAGCAGUAUCUUUGGAGAUUGGAGAGUCCACCAAGGAUGCCCACUGGCUCCCUACAAAGUUUUUUAUGUGAGGACUCGGUCUCAGGCUCAGAAGUGGAAGAGAUGUGCCUUGACUCAGAUGAGACUUUGGACUUGGACUUUUGAGUUAAUUCUGGAAUGAGUUAAAACUUUAGGGGACUGUUGGGAAGGCAUUAUUGUGUUUUAAAUGUGAAAAGAACAUGAGGUAUGGGAGGGGUCAGGGGUGGAAUGAUAUGGUUUGGCUCUGUGUCCCCACCCAAAUCUCAUGUCAAAUUUUAAUCCCCAGUGUUGGUGGAGGAGCCUAGUGAGAGGUGACUGAAUCACAGGGGCAGACUUCCUCCUUGUUUCUCUUGUGAUAGUGAGUGAGUUCUCAUGAACUCUGGUUGUUGUAAAGUGUGUGGCACCUUUCCCUUCACUCUCUCUCUUCCUCCUGCUCUUGCCGUGAGAAUAAGUGCAUGCUUCCCCUCCUGCCAUGGGAAUAAGUGCAUGCUUCCCCUCCUGCCAUGAGAACAAGUGCAUGCUUCUCCUUUUGCCUUCUACCAUGUUUGAAAGUUUCCUGAAGCCUCUCCAGCCAUGCUCCCUGUGCAGCCUGCAGAACUAUGAGCCAAUUAAACAUGUUUUUGUAUAUAAAUUACCCAAUCUUAAGUAGUUCUUUAUAGCAACACAAGAAUAAACUCAUACAACCCCCAUUAUCAUUCAGCUAAAUAUGGUUGGGUUUUUGGAGCCUCAAGCAUGAAGGUGAACUGGCUAUGGCUAUACCAGCCUGAAAGGAUUGAACUCUCCCCUGGAAUCCCAGAACAAAUUCCUUCAACUGAAAAUGUCUCUCCUGUCUCGAGGAGCAAGUCCCCACAAAUUUAUUUUCUCACUUUCAUCCAAACUCUGAUAAUUCUGGAAAGAAGACCAAAGAUUUGUCAAUAACAGGCACUCUUAGGGCAGUGUCUGUUCCCUGAGCUGAUCAUAGGAGCAUGUUGGGAAAUUUCAUCAAAUGUAAAAUCAAAGCCUUGUAUUAGACUUAGCAAAAGUUAGCCGUUGGCAAAUUGUGAAAUUGGUUAAGUAUGCCUGUGGCACCUUCCCACUUUCAUAAUUAAUUUUUAUGCCCUCCCACUUGGCUCUUAUAACCCUACAAGUACAAAUAAUUGGUCAUUUGUGUGACUUUCUGUUUAUUGCAUGUCUCUAUUUAACUUGCUAUAAUUUGCAUAUGUGUGGAGACUACACUUGUCUUUUUGGCUACUAUAUCCUUCUGUCCCCUAAUAUUGUACCUGAUUAUGGAAUACGCCAAUUUAUUAAAUGAAUAAAGUUUUUUUAAAUAUCUUGACCCCUUUUUGGAACAUUAUAUAGCACAAAAAUAAUUGUUCAGUGACUGUACCUUAACUGAAUGGAUUGUAUGAGUAAUGGAAGUGGUUAAGAUAUGAAUCACUCUGGGAUUGCAUUUCCACAAAACUUUUCCAAGACCUAUCAUAAGAGGGAGGGAAGAGUGAGACCUCCCAAUACACUGUAUAUUUACAAGAACUGCAAAACUUUCAAUGGUAUGUUUCUUUACUUGUAGCAGGCUUUAGGUUUCAACCUGUUCUCUCUAAUGCCUGCCACUGUCUACCUCAUCUCUGUGACUUCUGUCUCCAUGUAGUUGGCUGUGAAAUAGGAUGCAGUUUCUUCUUCUUCCCUUGCUAUUUUUGUUUAAUGGACACAAGUCCCUAUUUAAUCACCUGGAAAAGCUACCAGAAGGGGAAGAAAGCAAGCCACAUUGAGAGUAUACACUACUCUUACUAAUAUAAUCUUAGGCCAUUUGUACUGUUUUUGUUUCUGGGCCAUAUUGUAAACUCUUUGGUAUGGAACAAUAAUAAUCAAAAUUGCUUACAUGUAUUGAGUACAUGUUAUUUAUUAUACUCAUUUGACACUUUAAACUGUUUUGUCAUUUAGUCUCAAAAUGGUUUGGAUUUACAAAUGAGUACACUGAGGCUCAAAAAGGAGUA
rnacentral:lncRNA from 10 species